UACAGGGGGGGCAAGCGUUGUUCGGAAUUACUGGGCGUAAAGGGCCAGUAGGCGGCCAACUAAGUCCGACGUGAAAUCCCCAGGCUUAACCUGGGAACUGCGUCGGAUACUGGAUGGCUUGAAUUCGGGAGAGGGAUGCAGAAUUCCAGGUGUAGCGGUGAAAUGCGUAGAUAUCUGGAGGAACACCGGUGGCGAAGGCGGCAUCCUGGACCGGCAUUGACGCUGAGGCGCGAAAGCCAGGGGAGCAAACGGGG
rnacentral:rRNA from 1 species